AUGUAUCAGAUUUCACAAGAUUUCUGUAUCCUGUAUCCUGAUGCAGCGAGGAAACUGUUUGAAAACUGGACCACGAUAAGUGAAAGAAUUCUUCCAUAUGCCCAGCAAGAGGGUAAACUGCCCUCAGUACUGGGUGACAUGACACCAGCUGCUAAAGAGGAGACAGCUUUGAAGGUCCUGCCAACUCUGCUUCCCCCAUCCAUCUACAGGAGAGGAGGAAAGGUCUUCAGACCCACCACAGAGGAGGCCCAGAAGUCAUUUAUUGACAUGCAACCUGUUGGGACCAACAUGGUUGAAUAUUUAAACCAUGAGAUGACUGGAGCAUUGCUGCACAUUCUUGCCUCAGUGAUGAGACAAGGGGGACAUCACAGACCUUUGCCAUUAUUCCAGGCCACGCCAUUGAGACUGUGUCUUUGUUGGAGGCGGUUGAUCUUUGCUUUAAAGCUUUUUUUGUUUUUGAUGUUCAGUACACCAAGCAGUGUCUCCCCACCUGGGAGUUUCUCCAGCAUGCUGUAUAUCAAAUUGAAGGAAAAGAGUCCUCCUCUGUAAAGUUUUUGAGGACAACAGUGGUUUCAGGCCCACAUGAUAUGUAGAUGAUUUUAAAAUGUAUUUUGUUGCUGUUCUUAAAUCAACACAUCUUAAUAAAUUAAAUUGUAAUCGUAUGAGAGUUCAAAUUAGUUGUUUAAUGACUUUUAAUGCCUGAAUAUUUGGACAGAUUUACAUUUGUUAUAAAGUCUGUGGGGAAGGGUGAAUGUCAGAGGGUGUGUGGGUGGGGGUUGGAAUGGGGGGGUAAAGAAUGUAUUCAAUAUUGUAUACAAACAAAGUAUUAAAGAAAUGUAUUGUUUUUAAAGAAAUAAUAUGUUUUAAAUGAGAUUGAAAUCACAUAUACAUGGCCUCUCUGGUUUAUUGUAUUACAGAGACAAUAAUUAUUUUACAUUCGUAAUAUAAAAUAUAUUUGUAACUAAUGUAUAAAGGCAGUGAGACAGGAAAUAAUCUAUUUAUUAUUAAAUAAUAACUAUUUAUUUGACUAAACUAUUUGUUUGACUUAACCCAGCAAGAGGGUUAAUUUUACCCACUGGUUGGGUCAAAUGAAUGACCCAGUAAUAUGGGUUAAACGGUAAAACCCAGCACUUGGGUCAAACCAACCCAGCGCGUGUUCUGUCCAAUAGUGACCCAGCAGCGUGGUUAAGGUUGGGUUAUUUUUUAACCCAGCAGUUUUUAGAAUGUAUUGUUUGGAUUAACUAGCCGAGUAGACAGAUAUGAAUGUUUAUUCAUAACCAUACUGGAAAUAAGUAAAUAUUGUUAGCUGAUGCUAACUGUCUAGCUAACAAGCUUGCUGGUGCUAAGUUGAGGUUAUUUUUAGAUAUAAAGCCCAAAUAUAUUUAUUCAGUCAUCUAGACAGAUUACAUCUGGGGGGAAAAGAAAGCAUGUGAUGUUCAGAACAUGGUAACUACAGUAAUUAUCAAAGUGGGAAGUGAUGUCCUCUGGGAGCAUUUGGCCAGAGCUGUUUU
ensembl:lncRNA